UACGGGGGGGGGCAAGCGUUGUUCGGAAUUACUGGGCGUAAAGAGCGCGCAGGCGGUCGUUCAAGUCGAGUGUGAAAGCCCCCGGCUCAACUGGGGAGGGUCACUCGAUACUGAUCGACUCGAAGGCAGGAGAGGGUAGUGGAAUUCCCGGUGUAGUGGUGAAAUGCGUAGAUAUCGGGAGGAACACCCGUGGCGAAGGCGGCUCUCUGGGACGGUACUGGACGCUGAGGAGCGAAAGUGUGGGGAGCGAACAGG
rnacentral:rRNA from 1 species